rnacentral:rRNA from 1 species
UGGCCGUCGUCAGUCGUACUGUGAAGCAUCCUGUUAAGUCAGGCAACGAGCGAGACCACGCCCACAGUUGCCAGCGUACUCUCUGGAGUGACGGGUACACUGUGGGGACCGCCGCUGCUAAAGCGGAGGAAGGAAUGGGCAACGGUAGGUCAGUAUGCCCCGAAUAUCCGGGCUACACGCGGGCUACAAUGGUCAGGACAAUGGGUAUCAACACCGAAAGGUGAAGGCAAUCUCCUAAACCUGUCCUUAGUUCGGAUUGUGGGCUGCAACUCGCCCACAUGAAGCUGGAAUCUGUAGUAAUCGCGUCUCAAAAUUGGCGCGGUGAAUAUGUCCCUGCUCCUU